rnacentral:rRNA from 1 species
AUUGAACGCUGGCGGCAGGCCUAACACAUGCAAGUCGAGCGGAUGAAGGGAGCUUGCUCCUGGAUUCAGCGGCGGACGGGUGAGUAAUGCCUAGGAAUCUGCCUGGCAGUGGGGGAUAACGUCCGGAAACGGGCGCUAAUACCGCAUACGUCCUGCGGGAGAAAGUGGGGGAUCUUCGGACCUCACGCUAUCAGAUGAGCCUAGGUCGGAUUAGCUAGUUGGUGGGGUAAAGGCCUACCAAGGCGACGAUCCGUAACUGGUCUGAGAGGAUGAUCAGUCACACUGGAACUGAGACACGGUCCAGACUCCUACGGGAGGCAGCAGUGGGGAAUAUUGGACAAUGGGCGAAAGCCUGAUCCAGCCAUGCCGCGUGUGUGAAGAAGGUCUUCGGAUUGUAAAGCACUUUAAGUUGGGAGGAAGGGCAGUAAGUUAAUACCUUGCUGUUUUGACGUUACCAACAGAAUAAGCACCGGCUAACUUCGUG